rnacentral:tRNA from 1 species
CAGGGAGACAACAAAAUGUUUAAUAUUAUUAUUUUGUCACCUUAGGUCGAUCGGUAUCUCAUGUUCUUAAUUUAUUAAGAAUUUCAUUUCCUAAGUUUUUCUAGGUCACACCCAUUAUUUUCCUGGGCCAUUAGCUCAGGUGGUUAGAGCGCACCCCUGAUAAGGGUGAGGUCCCUGGUUCAAGUCCAGGAUGGCCCAUAUCUCUAUGUUGGGGGUAUAGCUCAGUUGGUAGAGCGCCUGCUUUGCAAGCAGGAUGUCAGCGGUUCGAGUCCGCUUACCUCCACUGAUUACCACCUCUUCCAUAAUCUUUAGAAAGGAAAUGUAUUGAGUUGUGAUCAAAUUCUGAACGAAUCUAGCUUCCUAAUGAAAUCAUUAAGAUGCUGGACUCAUUGAAUUAAUUUCAUUGUUUUCAGAGAACCUUGACAACUGCAUAGAUUAUUUUUAAAGACAAUAAGCAUCUUUAAUGAUGCAGAUUUAUUAUUUGUGCGAAUGCAUUAAUAACAAUUCUAUUAAGCUGAUGCUUCAAUUAUGAAGUUAUU